rnacentral:sRNA from 1 species
UGAUAUCCGUGGGAUAUCGAUCGUAGGCC